GGGGGAGUACUUAGGCCCCCCAGGAGCGACGUGUUAAUAGCUGUGCUUUUGGCCAGGCAUAGUGGUUAGUGAAUC
rnacentral:ncRNA from 1 species